rnacentral:sRNA from 2 species
ACGCUUCGUGCGCCGCAGGCAGGAGCGGGGGACCCAAGGUAAGUGCCGGGUCCGGCCGUCGAGAGACGGCCGGCCACCGGCUUGGGGUGAAGCCGCGCGUCCGUCAGGGCGCACACGCGGCCGGGCGACUCCCCGCCCGAACCCGACAGCUCACCUCGCAGGCGUCGGUGAGGAGAUAC